AACCCCCUGAGACCCCAAAAUCCCUCCUGGGACCCCCAAAAACUCCCUGAGACCUCCCAAAUUUACACCAGGACCCCCAAAACCCCCACAGGAUACCCCAAAUCUCCCCCUGGAACCCCCAAAUUGCCCCCAGGACCACCUAGAACCCCCGAGACCCCAAAACCUUCCCGGGACUCCCAAAUUCCCCCCCAGGGACCCCCAAAACCCCCUGAGACCUCGCCAGGGACCCCAAAUUCCCCCCGGGACCCUCAGAAAUGCCCUGAGACCCCAAAAUUCCUCCGGGACCCCAAAAACUCCCCUGGGCCCCCCCAAAAAAACCCUCAGGAUUCCAAAAACACCCCUGAGACCCCCCCCAGGACCCCCCAAAACCCCCCUGAGAGCCCCAAAUCCCCUCCAGGACCCCCGAAAAGCCCCAUAAACCCCCCCAGGAACCCCAACCCCCCCCGAUUUUCGGGACACCCCCUGAUUUUGGGCCCCCCCCCCCAGGCUGGUGGCUCACGAGGACGACCCCGACUCGGACUCGGACCCCGAGACCCCCCCGGAUCUGGGGGCGCUGCUGGGGGGGCCCCGGGCGCCCGCGGGGGAGCAGGACGAGACCCAGAAGGCGCUGUUGGAGGCCGGGCAGGAGCGCGAGCAGAGGGAGCUCAGUGACCCCGGGAUUUGAGGCUCAGAUUUUGGGGCUCAGGGUGAUUUCGGGGCUCAGGGUGAUUUUGGGGCUCAGAUUUUGGGGCUCGGGGUGAUUUCGGGGUUCAGGGUGAUUUUGGGGCUCGGGGUGAUUUCGGGGCUCAGGGUGAUUUUGGGGCUCAGAUUUUGGGGGCUCGGGGUGAUUUCAGGGGGCCGCGGGUGAUUUU
rnacentral:lncRNA from 14 species